UCAGAUGCUACAAGACAAAUCACUGUGUUUUGUUAAUUUGUUCUUUUAAGCACAUGAAAUUUUUGUCAGUCAUCAGUGUUCACCUGAUGGGCUGCUUUGUGUGCAGAGAUGGUUAAUGGGGAAGGUCCCCAUACGGAUGCAUGUGCAGGCCUGUGAGGGCUGAGCGACCAGGAUUAUUACCAGAUGAACUGCAAUGCAGUGGACACCUUUGGUCAUAUUGCAGUAACAGAUCACCAACCUAGCCACUCCAGCUCCUUUCGGUGGCCAAGUUGAGGCCUCCUUGGUCUCUGGGCACAACGUUUGCUGCUUUGGGUUGCUGGGCAGCGGAUCUGCUCCUGAUUCUGCGGAACAGAAUCACGGGGUUUCUGCAUGAGUCAGCGUGCUCAGCAAAGACACAGGGACCUGAGCCAGAUUGAUAAGACCUCAUCAUUUUGAGCAAAAUCCCAG